rnacentral:rRNA from 1 species
UACGUAGGUGGCAAGCGUUAUCCGGAAUUAUUGGGCGUAAAGCGCGCGCAGGCGGUUUCUUAAGUCUGAUGGGAAAGCCCACGGCUCAACCGUGGAGGGUCAUUGGAAACUGGGGAACUUGAGUGCAGAAGAGAAAAGCGGAAUUCCACGUGUAGCGGUGAAAUGCGUAGAGAUGUGGAGGAACACCAGUGGCGAAGGCGGCUGACUGGUCCGGUUCUGACGCUGAGGCGCGAAAGCGUGGGGAGCAAACAGG